rnacentral:rRNA from 1 species
GGCAAGUCUGGUGCCAGCAGCCGCGGUAAUUCCAGCUCCAAUAGCGUAUAUUAAAGUUGUUGUGGUUAAAAAGCUCGUAGUUGAACCUUGGGCCUGGCUGGCCGGUCCGCCUCACCGCGUGUACUGGUCCGGCCGGGCCUUUCCCUCUGUGGAACCCCAUGCCCUUCACUGGGCGUGGCGGGGAAACAGGACUUUUACUGUGAAAAAAUUAGAGUGCUCCAGGCAGGCCUAUGCUCGAAUACAUUAGCAUGGAAUAAUAGAAUAGGACGUGUGGUUCUAUUUUGUUGGUUUCUAGGACCGCCGUAAUGAUUAAUAGGGACAGUCGGGGGCAUCAGUAUUCAAUUGUCAGAGGUGAAAUUCUUGGGUUUAUUGAAGACUAACUACUGCGAAAGCAUUUGCCAAGGAUGUUUUCAUUAAUCAGGAACGAAAGUUAGGGGAUCGAAGACGAUCAGAUACCGUCGUAGUCUUAACCAUAAACUAUGCCGACUAGGGAUCGGACGGUGUUAUUUUUUGACCCGUUCGGCACCUUACGGGAAAC